UAAACUGGUUGAAAGACCACACCCAUGAAGAAUAAAAGGGUUGGGGUUUUCAGUCCCAGCACCCAUUGGAUCCAGACUUUGGCCCAAAAAGAAUAACUCUUACCACAUCAGCUGAGACAGAGAGCCAGCAUGGAAAGAGGCCAGGCACCUGAGGCUCCAUCCUACAUGGCAUGGUCAAUAUUUAACACUUUUUGCUGUUGUUGGCCUCUGGGGAUCGCUGCCAUUGUCUACUCCAGCAAGGCAAACACUGCUAAUAGUCUUGGACAAUCAUCAGAAGCCAUGGAAGCAUCAAGAAAAGCCAAGGUGCUAAAUAUCCUGUCACUUGUCAUUGGAAUCAUCUUCAUCAUCAUUUUCAUCGUUUACAAACUCAACAAUCCUGAACAGCACUGAAGGUCCAUGACGUGUUGAAUCCCAGCAAAGGCUUUUAAUGAUGAGCUUUCCCCUCCUCCAAACAUAUGCUGACUAAAUAGAAACAUAUGUCUGUCUGUUUGCAUACAUGUUGUACACAUGUGUACUUGCCAAUGCCAAAUGCCAAUAAGACUGAGUCAUGUUACUGCAAUGUGAUGAUUGUACUGAAAUAAUUCCAAAAACAUGUAUGAUCCGUCAGAGUAAAAUAUAUUUGUUACACAAAGGAAA